rnacentral:misc_RNA from 1 species
GAUGGCCCAGCACAUGGACGGACGG